CUACUUCGGUAGUGAAUUAGCGGCGAACGGGUGAGGAACACGUGAGGAAUCUGCCUUCAACACUGGGAUAACUCCGGGAAACCGGGGCUAAUACCGGAUACGAGCCUUGAUCGCAUGAUCGAGGCUGGAAAGUUUUUCGGUUGAAGAUGACCUCGCGGCCUAUCAGCUUGUUGGUGAGGUAAUGGCUCACCAAGGCGACGACGGGUAGCCGGCCUGAGAGGGCGACCGGCCACACUGGGACUGAGACACGGCCCAGACUCCUACGGGAGGCAGCAGUGGGGAAUAUUGGGCAAUGGAGGAAACUCUGACCCAGCGACGCCGCGUGCGGGAUGAAGGCCUUCGGGUUGUAAACCGCUUUCAGUAGGGAAGAAGCGAAAGUGACGGUACCUACAGAAGAAGCACCGGCUAACUAUGUGCCAGCAGCCGCGGUAAUACAUAGGGUGCAAGCGUUGUCCGGAAUUAUUGGGCGUAAAGAGCUCGUAGGUGGUUUGAUACGUCGGGCGUGAAAUUC
rnacentral:rRNA from 1 species